GAAUUUCACUCCUUGUGAGUUUAAGAGCUAUGCUUCUUGUGGGUUCUUAGAUUGAACAUUUCUUUGAUCUUAUAAAGGUUUUCAUACCUUUGUGACAAAUCUUUGCUAGACCUAUCACUCUAUAGAGUUUGGCGUCUUCCCCUACACUUCUAUUAUUCUCCAUCUUUUCAUUUUUGUUUUUAAUUGCUUGUUCUAGUCCCAUGUGCUAAAUAAUUUAAAGCUUUCAUCCUUGGUCAAGUUUCAUCUAUUCCUUUGUUUAUAUGUGUGUCGUUUCCAUAAAGCUUAAUGCUUUGUUUGAUUGAAUAUGCCAUUGUUUUAAGGAUUAAGGAAGUUUGUUUUAAAUUCUUAUUGUUCUUUCCUCUUUAAUUCCCUUAAACAUGAAUCAAUCAAGGAUGAUAUGUAAAAGCAAUAUGAAUCUCAAUUGGGAUCAUAUCACAUAAUAAGUAAUUAGCAAGGUUAUUAUCUUGAAUGGGUAUUUUAAUAUUUAAUGGUAACUGAUGGUUGGGUUCUUAAUGGUAAUUGAUGGUGAGAACACAAAAAAUGAUAAAAACUUCAUGAAUGCCAAUUUUGCCUUCCCUUCGAAGUUUUGUUGCCAAUACCUCUUUCAAAUUCAUGUUAGUUUCUUCUCUGCAUUAGGUUUCAAUAAUCGUUGCAUGGAGGAGGCGCCACUCCUUAGAGUAUCUUUAGUGGUAGAUCCCAAGCUGGGAUCUUAAACUACUUUUUGAUGGACUCCACAGUGCCACGUAGGAGUAAAGAUUUGUUAAGAUCUCUAUCAUUUUUUCCUUUAAUGGUAGAUCUCAUUUUGGGAUCUUAAAUGAUUUUAAGUAGGUCUCACAUGGAUCCCACUUUUUAAUAUUUUAAAUUUUUUCUUUUUUCUUUCUUUUUCUUCUCCUCCCUCAACGUUCACGCUUCUUUUUUCUUCUUUUUCUUUCUUUUUCCCAACGUUCACACUUCCUUCUUUUUCUUUUUCUUCUCCUUUCUCGUGACCUUUCUUCUUCCUUUCAUCUUUUUCUUUUUUCCCCCUAACACUCACCCUUACUCCACCUCCUUCUUCCUUCUCCUUCCUCCCUCCCCCUCCACGGCCUCCUCUGCGACCUCCGCGGUCACCUCCAGGUAAUUACAUUUUUUUUGUUCUUCCUUUUCUCUUGUUUUUUUCUUCAAUGAUCUUCUCUCCUUCCCACUGAUUUCUGGUUUUUUGUUUUGAAUAUUUUUAAAUUUUUUUCACGUAUGGCCAGAGAUCUUCAAGGUUCUUGUAGAAGAACUCAUUCUUCAUCCUGAAGAUUUGUAGUCCCCCUUUAUUGCAAGAUCCACACAAGGUCAGAUCUUGAGCUUAAGAUCCUUGCUCAAAAUCUAGCACUAAAGUUGCUCUUAGAGUUGUUGUCGUUGUGCAUUCAGCCUUCACAAAAGUGAAAGCACAUGUCGAUGAGUAGGGUCCAUGGUGGUGGGUUGUGACUGAUCUCAGGAGAGGGAAAGAGACUAAAGAAAGUAAUGUUAUGGUGUGGGAGGUGUAUGAUAAGAAUGUGUGGAUUAGAUUAAUCUAAGGGCUCUUAAAAAUAGGUCAUGGUGAACCACUUAAGAUAGUGAUGUGCCCUAGAAACGGUCAUCUAUAUCUAUAUCUAUAUCUAUAUAUAUAGACAAAUAUAUAGAUAGAGAAAGAGGAGGAAUCAAAUUAUAUCGGUAUAACUUUGACAACUA
rnacentral:lncRNA from 1 species